CCAAAGGCUCUUUUCAGAGCCCCUCAUUUUUUCAACAAAAAGAAUU
rfam:Cavia porcellus supercont2_38 genomic scaffold, whole genome shotgun sequence.